UAAUACAGAGGGUGCGAGCGUUAAUCGGAAUUACUGGGCGUAAAGAGCGCGUAGGCGGUCAUGUAAGUCAGGUGUGAAAGACCUUAGCUUAACUAAGGAACUGCAUUUGAUACUGCAUAACUAGAGUAUGGUAGAGGAAAGUGGAAUUUCCGGUGUAGCGGUGAAAUGCGUAGAUACCGGAAGGAACACCAGUGGCGAAGGCGACUUUCUGGACCAAUACUGACGCUGAGGCGCGAAAGCGUGGGGAGCAAACAGGAUUAGAUACCCUGGUAGUCCACGCCAUAAACGAUGAAUACUAGCCGCUUGGCGCAUAAAAGCGCUGGGUGGCGUAGCUAACGCGAUAAGUAUUCCGCCUGGGGAGUACGGCCGCAAGGUUA
rnacentral:rRNA from 1 species